GACUGCUUCAGUGGCUUAGUGGGUAUGGCGUCUGCCUUAGAUGUGGGAGUUUGCAGGUUCAAACUAUGGCUGAGUCA